AGCGAACGCUGGCGGCAGGCCUAACACAUGCAAGUCGAACGGAUCCUUCGGGAUUAGUGGCGGACGGGUGAGUAACACGUGGGAACGUGCCCUUUGGUUCGGAACAACCCAGGGAAACUUGAGCUAAUACCGGAUGUGCCCUUCGGGGGAAAGAUUUAUCGCCAUUGGAGCGGCCCGCGUCUGAUUAGCUAGUUGGAGGGGUAAAGGCCCACCAAGGCGACGAUCAGUAGCUGGUCUGAGAGGAUGAUCAGCCACAUUGGGACUGAGACACGGCCCAAACUCCUACGGGAGGCAGCAGUGGGGAAUCUUGCGCAAUGGGCGAAAGCCUGACGCAGCCAUGCCGCGUGAAUGAUGAAGGUCUUAGGAUUGUAAAAUUCUUUCACCGGGGACGAUAAUGACGGUACCCGGAGAAGAAGCCCCGGCUAACUUCGUGCCAGCAGCCGCAGUAACAC
rnacentral:rRNA from 1 species